rnacentral:rRNA from 1 species
AUGGUUGUCCCCGACCGCCUCGCCGGCGACGCCAGAGAGUAUAAGGACCCUCCCCGACGCCUCGAGCCCUUCCCUAUCUCGCCCAAAAUAUCUCCACCCACUCCCCUCUCUCCUCCUCCGCUUAUCCCCUCACCCAGAUCCCUUUCCCCUCCUUCCGAGCUCUGCCAUGGACGCGACGCCGAGACCGACGUAGCCGCAGCCACCACCGUCCCUGAACCCCUCCGAUGCGUCCAUGUCCCCUACGACAUCUACAUGGGCGGGCUCGAGCUGGGCGUCCCUGCAUCGAGCGGAUCGACGCCAUCCUCCUCCUCGAGCACCACCGCCUUCUUCUUCAACUUCGUCGUCGUCCUAUGCUUUGACCCCUCCCCGAGCAUGCUCUUGCACAACUACAGGUCCGAACCCGAGACCGAUGUCGCCCCUGUGAUUGACUACGUCGACGACGACACUUCUUCCUUCUCAACAGAGCUUCCAGAUGACGGAUCCCAGGAGCCAGAAGACGCCACUGAUGACUACUAG